UCUCAGUUCGGAUUGGAGUCUGCAACCCGACUCCAUGAAGCUGGAUUCGCUAGUAAUCGCGCAUCAGCCACGGCGCGGUGAAUACGUUCCCGGGCCCUUGUACACACCGCCCGUCAAGCCAUGGAAGCCGGGGGUGCCUGAAGUGCGCUGCCGCGAGGAGCGCCCUAGGGUAAAACCGGUGACUGGGGCUAAGUCGUAACAAGGUAGC
rnacentral:rRNA from 1 species